UAUUUCAUUAUUCCGUACGGUUGACGCACUUUUUCUGCCAAGUUACUUCGCGUUAACGUUACGACAAGAGUAGUCGAAUCUCUUGACGCGUUCCUGGCCUCAAAUACUCUCUACACGUGUGUAUAUAUAUAUAUAUACACAUAAAUAUGUCUAUGUGUAUAUAUAUAUAUAUAUAUAUAUAUAUAUGUACACGUUGAGAGUGCGCGCGUAUGAAACUGCGAGCACAUAUUUAUGAGCGUGUAUGUAGAGCCAGGCCAUGCACGAAUAAAGAGCGCGCGCGAGAGAUCGAGAGAGAGAGAGAGAGAGAGAGAGAGAGAGAGAGAGAGAGAGAGAGAGAGAGAGAGGGUAUAUGCAUAUGUAUAUACCUCUUCUCACUACGUACAGCGAUAGUGUCAGAGAGAGAGAGAGAGAGAGAGAGAGAGAGAGAGAGAGAGAGAGGGAGGGAGAGAGAGAAGCGAGUAACGAGAAAGAGCAGUAACUAUAGAAAGCAUUGGGGGCGCUAGCGGAGCGAACGUUCAACAUGAGUGAGAAAGAGAGAGAUAGAUAGAGAUAGAGAGAGGUGAAUAUAAAACGAACAAGUAAGAGAGAGAGAGAAAGAGAUAGAGAGAGAGAGAGAAAGAGAGAAAGAGAGAAGUAAAUGUAGAAAGAAAAGAGAAGGAUGCAGUGGAGAAAGCUCCAUUUAGAGAGAGGGAGAGAGAGUCAGAGAGAGAUAGUAAUAUACGUUGAAACCCCACAUGGAUCACUCUCUCUCUUUCUCUCUCUCUCUAGCUAUCUCACUCUUCUAUGCAGCUUCGCGCACAACCCACUAUGCCAGGCUCCCACCACGCGAACUUUCGGAAAAAUCAAUAGACUACAAGAAAAGCCUGUGCUGCGCCAGGCGAGUGGAGCCCUCUCCCCUUUCCUCUCUUUCCUAUCCUACUUUCUCUUACUCUCUCUCUCUCUCUCUCUCUCUAUCACUCUCUUUCUCUCUUUCGUAACGUUCGUGCAUCUAUCCGUCUCUCUACCAUACUAUUACUCUCUUUCUCUUUCUAUCUGUCUGUCUGUCUCUUUCACUCACUCACUCUCUCUCUCUCUCUCUCUCUCUCUCUCUCUUUCUCUCUCUUUCUCUCUCUUUCUCUACCUACUUCCCACUCCUUUCUCUAUGUACCUCGUUUUACCAACGUGGUCGAAGCAAAAGGGGAAGGGUGGGGUAUGCCAGGAAGGGAAAGGGAAGGGAUUUCAGCGAGGAUGAGUGUGUUCGAUAGCAAGUAGGUGUGUUCCGAUAGAAGAAGGAUAGAAAAGAAGUAACGAGUAACUGUGAGAGAGAUAGAUAGAUAGAUAGAUAGAUAUAUAGAGAUAGAGAGAGAGAGAGAGAGAUGGAGAAACGCAGGCACCUUUUCGCGUAAUGUUCUCUCAUUCGCCCACGUUCUACAAUUUUCUCUCUCUCUCUUUCUCUCUUAUGUACUAUGUAUGUGUGUAAGUGUGUAUGUAUUUUUGUAUGUACAGAGGAACCCAUACAUGUAUAUAUAUAUAUAUAUAUAUAUACGUAUUCGCGUACACAGACACACACAGAGAAAGAGAAAGAGAGAGACACAGACACGUAACAGAAAUUCUCCCAGGCCACUCCUCUUUCCACCUGCUGCUCCCACAGUUUCGUUCCUAGCCUCUCGUAGAAUUUCUUUCGAUAAAAAAAAAAGGGGAGAAAAGAGCGGGACAAACUCUCUCUCUCUCUCUCUCUCUCUCUCUCUCUCUUUCUCUUUCUCUUUCUCUCUCUCUCUUUUAUACGUACGUACUUACGUAUAAAUGCAUGUAUGUAUGUAUGUAUGUAUAUAUGAUGUAUGUAUGUAUGUAUGUACGUAGUAAGUACCUAAACCGAUUUUUCUUUCGUUUUCGUAGUUACACACGAAAACGAGAGGAUCGUUUGCGUUCGGGAGAAUCUUAGGGAGAAUAAGGGCUCCUCUUGUGUAUAGAACCCAAUACCAUCGACUGUGAGUGAAGAAGACCGUGAAGCGAAAGUGAUCUCUCUCUCUCUUUUUUUUAUCUCUCUUUUUCAACACACACAAUGUAUGUAUAUAUGUACAUAUACAUACGUAAACGUACAGUUAUCAUCGUACGUUCGAGUGUGACGACGGCCACGACGUUCUUCGGCGGGAUAUUUAAAAAACUAACACAAACAGAAAUUAGAUCAUACCAUGUGACAUUAUAUACCCAUGAGAAUAAUUAUAGUAUAUGAAAGCAACGUUUGGUCCAUCCUCUGCACAAUGGAGUUAGGAUUACUCAUAGAAUCAUCAUUAAGAAAUAUUUCUAUAAGAAUGUUAUCGGACGAUUAUGAUAAUGAUGAUGAUGAUGAUGAUGAUGAUGAUAAAAAGAUCAUGAAAAAAAAUUCGUUAAAUUGUUCCAUAAUAACGAGAAAAAAUUUUUUAUCGUUUUGGCCCUUCAUCAACGAACAACAUUCACAAUUUAUAUUAAAUAAAAAUAAUAUAUCCAAUGAGUCAAAAUUAAAGGUACGACUAGAAUAUAAAUGAAGGAAAAAAUUGACUCAUGAAAAAAAAAUUGUUAUCUAAUAAAAAAGACAAUUA